rnacentral:lncRNA from 1 species
AUAAAUGAACUUUUUAUUGUCUGAAUAUUCAGGAGCUAAGACCAUUCCAAUGCCCCCUUUCGCCAUGCAUAAACUAAACCAACAAUUAAGAUAAACACGAAAAUUAAAACUUCUAUAAAUACAGAUACACCCAAUAUAUCAAAACUCAUUACCCAUGGAUAAAGAAAAACCGUUUCAACAUCAAAAACAACAAAAAUGAGAGCAAACAUAUAAUAACGGAUUCGAAAUUGUAACCAAGCGUCGUCCAUUGGUUCUAUACCCAACUUGUCCAACUUGACUGCAU